UCAGUGAAAAUCCCACAAUACUCAGCAGGAAGAAACAGACAAUGAAAUUAAUGCAAUUCUUACAAUUACUCAAAAUCAGCUUAUAACAUUCAUUUAUCUCAAUUCACUCUGAUUCGCCUCAAUUUUAUGCCAAUUAACCUCAAUGUCAACUGGAAUAAAGUAAAUAUCGAAAUCUAUACCCCUCUCCUACUAACAGACACCGAUUUCAUUAUUAGAGGCGCAAAUUUCGUGCAAUUGAGCUUCUCUCCAUCUCCUCUGCUGCUGCCCUGCGACUUACAAUUGCAGCUAGCAAUUGUUGCUGCUGCCAAACACUGUGCCAGCAUCUACUAUGCUGACUACUACUACUGGCUAUAGCAGCCAGCAGGAAUUUAGAGAGAGGGAGAGAGAAAAAUAAGGAGUGGGGAGAAAAGGAAAGGAGAAAAAGAAUAAAAAGAAGAGAACUUACUGCGACCUCGUAAUCAAAGCGCUGAAGAAAUUUCUUGUGCGCACGAUCUCGAUCGACUCGUCAAAUCGAUCAAAACCCUUUAAUUUCUUCUUUUUUUUCUUAUUUUCUCCUUCUCUCUCUAGAACCAACAGGUG
rnacentral:lncRNA from 1 species